GAUGAACGCUGGCGGCGUGCCUAAUACAUGCCAGUCGAGCGAACGGACGAGAAGCUUGCUUCUCUGAUGUUAGCGGCUGACGGGUGAGUAACACGUGGAUAACCUACCUAUAAGACUGGGAUAACUUCGGGAAACCGGAGCUACUACCGGAUAAUAUUUUGAACCGCAUGGUUCAAAAGUGAAAGACGGUCUUGCUGUCACUUAUAGAUGGAUCCGCGCUGCAUUAGCUAGUUGGUAAGGUAACGGCUUACCAAGGCAACGAUGCAUAGCCGACCUGAGAGGGUGAUCGGCCACACUGGAACUGAGACACGGUCCAGACUCCUACGGGAGGCAGCAGUAGGGAAUCUUCCGCAAUGGGCGAAAGCCUGACGGAGCAACGCCGCGUGAGUGAUGAAGGUCUUCGGAUCGUAAAACUCUGUUAUUAGGGAAGAACAUAUGUGUAAGUAACUGUGCACAUCUUGACGGUACCUAAUCAGAAAGCCACGGCUAACUACGUG
rnacentral:rRNA from 1 species